rnacentral:lncRNA from 1 species
AAAUGGACUUAGACUUCCCACAAGCCUUCCAGAAAGAACUCACCUGCCUCAUCUGCCUGAAUUACCUCAUAGACCCCAUCACUAUAGGCUGCGGGCACAGUUUCUGUAGGCCCUGCCUCUGCCUUUGCUGGGAAGAAGCACACACUCCUGCCCUGCAUGCAGGGAAUUGUCACAGCAGGAAGAUUUCAACCAAUAUUCUUCUGAAGAAUCUAGUGUCCAUUGCCACAAAAGCCAGUCUCUGGCAAUUCCUGAGCUCUAAUGAACAAAUGUGCGGGAUCCACAGGGAGACAAAGAUGUUCUGUGAUGUGGGCAAGAGCCUGCUCUGUUUUCUGUGUUCUAACUCUCAGGAACAC